rnacentral:tRNA from 1 species
GGGGUUGUAGCUCAGAGGUAGAGUAUUUACCUAGCAUGUGCAAAGCCCUGGAUUCCCCAGCAACUCCC